GAUCCUGGCUCAGGAUGAACGCUAGCGGCAGGCUUAACACAUGCAAGUCGAGGGGCAGCGCGGAGUAGCAAUACUCUGGCGGCGACCGGCGGAAGGGUGCGUAACACGUGAGCGACUUGCCCGUCACAGGGAGAUAACCGCUGGAAACGGCGACUAAUAUCCCAUAUGAUGGCGAUCUGCAUGGAUUGUCAUUGAAAGAUUCAUCGGUGACGGAUAGGCUCGCGGGG
rnacentral:rRNA from 1 species